AUUCCCUUGACUGAAUGAUUAUAUCCAAAUUUUAUUUCUGAAGCUCUUCUAUUAGAAUAAAUGCAUAAAGCCAUUAUUAUGACUGUUUAUCUAGAGAUCAAUAGGUUGAUAUUUUAAAGGUUAGAGAAGUAAGUGGAAUUUCUUUGAAAAAAUGGAAAAAAUUAACUUUUAUUUUCCUCCUACUCUGUGUACAUUACCAAAACCAAGAACUAAUACUAAUUUUCUUCCAGAGAACAUCUAUUGUAAAGGAACAUACUGGAAACAGUCUGCAUAGUUGAUAGUUGUUUCAAGUGUCCACAUUACUGAAAUGUCUUAGGUCUGUUCUCAGUGCUGUCCUGAAGGCUCGGAGAAUAAUCUGAUCAGUGCCCCCACAUAUGUACUGCCAUCAUUAGACUAUGUUCCUGAGGAUCUACCAGACUACAGAUAGAAUGGGAGGAGAAAGCCACCCACAUUUUGCCCUAACUCAAGCUCUGCCAAAGGUGACACCAUCAGGAUCUGAAGCAGUGACCAGUAACAUGCCUGCUUCUGCACAGAAUGGCUGCUUUCUGAAAUGGAACCCAAGAUUGAGUGUCCUGUGCAUUCUUUUACUGCUUGCUAUUGACCUAGUACCUCUGCAUGGGAUAAGACUUCCUGUUUUUAGACUUUUGUUAAAACUAGAAAUAAAAUUGUGCUGAUCUUUA